AAAGUAAAUACAUAAAAUAAUAUGAAAACUUUUUAUUUUAGAAAUUGAAAUGCACUUUCUUGACCUUAACACAGAUUGUUUAGUGAGAGUUCUUCGAUAUUUAGAUCUUGACUCUCUAAUUAAUGUUUCACAAAUCAACGAAAAGUUGUUGUUUCUAGUAAGAAGUUGCUUCUCUAUAAAUAAUUUGCAACAAGCUAUUACAUUACAGACAAUGAAGACUAUCUCUCAAAACUUUAACCUUUGCAAUAUACCACAAAGUGAAAUGUUUAGGAAUGCAUUGUUUUUAUCUGUUACAAUGUUUCAUAAAGCAUUGUUAAAUAAAGAGUUGCUUCAAAAUUGGAUUAUUUAUGAUAGUUAUUUAUCAAGUGGUGUUAAAAAACUAUUUUUGCAAUCUUUAAACAAUUUUUUAAAUAUAUCAGAUUCUGUUUUAGUUUUACCUGCUAGAUAUUACACUGAGAUUCAAACCUUAUUUGUUUUUACUGAUGAUAAUAAAACAUGUAUUUUAACUAACUAUAAAAGUAAAACAUGUUCACAUUUAAGAUGUGUAAUUUACUUUAUGGAAGAAAACAAGCAAGAGAUUUAUCUACCUUGUAAAAUAUGUUCAAAUAGUUCCUUUAAACAGCUCAAAGUAAGUACCUGCUAGCUUAUCAUAUCCCUGAAGGGCAGGCAAUCAAUCAGCAUUUAUUUUGUCUGGCAGAAUGUCUGAUUGUUGUUUUUAAUAUUGCUUGAUUGAAGAGUUAUAUUUCAAUGGUGAAAUAGUCAAGCUUGUUGAUUUAUUCGAUUUAGUUAACAUUGUAGAAAAAAUCAAGUAUUUACAAUGCAAUCAAAUUUCAAUGAAAUGUGACAUUAAAAACUUAGCAAUAUUUUCAGAAGAUGCAAUCAUUUUGUCUUAUAAAAAUAUUGAAAAUAACUUUUAUAAAAGCUUGGGAACAUUUUCUAAGCAACCAGGAGUUCUAAAACUGUUCAACAUGUUAAAUCUGUACAGUGGCCUAGCAGAUUUCUGUGAGCAAAUUCAGUUUUACAACAAGAUUAAAUUGUUAAUACAUUUUUAUAGUCAAGCAAAUUUUAUAUUUCAUUAUGGAGAAGUUUUACCUUAUUUACCUAUAUUGGAAAAACUUUUUUUAAAAACUGAUUUUAUAAUUUCAAAUUGUAAAUUAAAAAAAGUUGUUAUUCAUUUUAAGAUAAAUGACACUCUUGAAGUAAUAAAGUUAAAAGAUAAACUUUUUGUGAAAUACCAAGAACUAAGUGGAACAUUUCCUGCUUUGAUUUGUUCUAAUGAUUCUGAAAGUUCAUAUUUUGAAGCUUACAUAAUUGAGCAGUUUGAGGAGUUUGUAACAAGAACAUUCACAGAUGAUGAGUUAAAAAAUCUUCCAAUUAUUUCUGUUGUGUUUAUAUCUAAAUUUUUAGAAUCUUUUUUUACAGAAGAAGGAAAAUAAGUUGUUUUUUUCUUAA